ensembl:snoRNA
CAAUGCCUUCAGUUCAGUCGAGGACAGCUUCCCUUUUCUGUUAAUUAAACUUUGGAACGUUGGGGCAUUAAAACAGGCUAGGGUAGGUGAUUGCACAGAGAAUAUUAUUCUAUUCAUUUCCUUCCUAGCCAAAAAAA